rnacentral:lncRNA from 10 species
GCUGGCUGGGGUCCCUUUCCACGACGUGGCGGCUUUGUUCUUUUGCUCUUUGCAAUAAAUCUUGCUACUGGUCAUUCUUUGGGUCCACACUGCUUUUAUGAGCUGUGAUACUCACCGCGAAGGUCUGUAGCUUCACUCCUGAAGCCAGUGAGACCACGAGCCCACUGGGAGGAACAAACAACUCCAGAUGCGCCGCCUUAAGAGCUGUAACACUCACCACCAAGGUCUGCAGCUUCACUUCUGAGCCAGCGACACCACGAACCCACCAGAAGGAAAAAACUCCGAACACAUCCGAACAUCAGAAGGAACAAACUCCAGACGCGCCACCUUAAGAGCUGUAACACUCACCGCGAGGGUCCGCAGUUUCAUUCUUGAAGUCAGUGAGACCAGGAACCCACCAAUUCGGGACACAGGAGGAUCACUUGAGCCCAGGAGUUCAAGACCAGCCUGGGCCAUAUGGCGAGACCCUGUCUUUAAAAAAAAAAAAAAAACAUAGGAAACACUGAAAGGGAAUGAUGUCAGGAGCAAAAGUAAAUAUUCUAAAUGAUGGAUGCACGAGGGCUACUUUACAGCUACCAGGGCAGACACCACCAUCUAAAACACUGGUCUAAACUCCUGAAUUUGUCCGGGUGCGGUGGCUCAGGCCUAUCAUUCCAGCACUAGGAAGCC